CCUACGGGGGGCAGCAGUGGGGAAUAUUGCACAAUGGGGGAAACCCUGAUGCAGCGACGCCGCGUGAGUGAAGAAGUAUUUCGGUAUGUAAAGCUCUAUCAGCAGGGAAGAAGAAAGACGGUACCUGACUAAGAAGCCCCGGCUAACUACGUGCCAGCAGCCGCGGUAAUACGUAGGGGGCAAGCGUUAUCCGGAUUUACUGGGUGUAAAGGGAGCGUAGACGGCUGUGCAAGUCUGAAGUGAAAGCCCAGGGCGCAACCCUGGGACUGCUUUGGAAACUGUGGAGCUAGAGGGCUGGAGAGGUAAGUGGAAUUCCUAGUGUAGCGGUGAAAUGCGUAGAUAUUAGGAGGAACACCAGUGGCGAAGGCGGCUUACUGGACAGUAACUGACGUUGAGGCUCGAAAGCGUGGGGAGCAAACAGGAUUAGAUACCCUAGUAGUC
rnacentral:rRNA from 1 species